UACGUAGGGUGCGAGCGUUGUCCGGAAUUAUUGGGCGUAAAGAGCUCGUAGGCGGUCUGUCGCGUCGGAUGUGAAAACUCGGGGCUCAACCCCGAGCCUGCAUUCGAUACGGGCAGACUAGAGUUCGGUAGGGGAGACUGGAAUUCCUGGUGUAGCGGUGAAAUGCGCAGAUAUCAGGAGGAACACCGGUGGCGAAGGCGGGUCUCUGGGCCGAUACUGACGCUGAGGAGCGAAAGCGUGGGGAGCAAACAGG
rnacentral:rRNA from 1 species